CCUGCCCCUAGAGGUUGCAUGUAUGGCUGCUGUGUCACAUGUGCAUCAGAAGGUGGCAGAGAGGAGAGAGCCUAUGCUAAGGCUCAAUGUUCUGACCUAUGGACUUGUGAAUGAUCAGUGGCCUGACACU